GACGAACGCUGGCGGCGUGCCUAAUACAUGCAAGUCGAGCGGAGCGGCGGACGGGUGAGUAAUGCCUAGGAAUCUGCCUGGUAGUGGGGGAUAACGUCCGGAAACGGGCGCUAAUACCGCAUACUAUCAGAUGAGCCUAGGUCGGAUUAGCUAGUUGGUGGGGUAAAGGCCUACCAAGGCGACGAUCCGUAACUGGUCUGGGAGGAUGAGCAGUCACACUGGAAAUGAGACACGGUCCAGACUCCUACGGGAGGCAGCAGGGGGGAAUAUUGGACAAUGGGCGAAAGCCUGAUCCAGCCAGGCCGGGUGGGUGAAGAAGGUCUUCGGAUUGUAAAGCACUUUAAGUUGGGAGGCGUUACCAACAGAAUAAGCACCGGCUAACUUCGUGCCAGCAGCCGCGGUAUAC
rnacentral:rRNA from 1 species